AAGGAGGUUCUUGGGAGGCUUGUAGAUGGCCCCUUCCCCUGUGUCCUCCCCAGCCCCUUCCUCUGCACUCCUCUGCCCUAAUGUCUUCUUACAGGGCUGGUGUGGUAGCCUGUCUCCAACAGUGUACCCCUAAGAUGACUGCCACCUCAUGUAGUCACCUCCCACAUUAUCCCAUGGUGACUUAGAACAGGUUAUGGAAGACACCGCCACUUCUGCUUUGUUCUCUCUCUCUCCCUCUCUCUCUCCUUUUCUCUCUCUCUGGAAGAAAUCGGGUCAUCAGAAGCUCAGCAGUCGGGUGCACCUGGCAAGCUCCCUGCUCACAUGCACAUAAGUGAGCCCGGAAACCCUAAUUCCUCCAGAUUCAGGCGCUCUUCAGUUGCCUACAGCCCUGGCUGACCCAAGCUGAGCUGCUCCUGGAUUUUUGACCCACCAGGCACCCACCAGGAGAUAAGAAAUGGUUGUUGUUUUAAGCAGAUACGCUGGGAGUCAUUUGUUACGCAGCAGCUGGGUCUUCAGCAUCUAGGGCUCAGCCAAUCAACUCCCACUCAAGCUUAGGAUUCAAUCACCCAAUACCUAGGAGAAUUGAAGACACCACAAGCCUACUGUUCAUGAUUCAUCCUUGCCAGGCGGAGAGCCAUCGAAUGCACUUCUCCCAAGGUUACAUCGUAAAAUUCAGGGCAGUGACUGCAAAGAAGGAGGAAAGAGGAAAGACAGAAACAUGCACACGGCCACGUGGUUGACAAGAUGACCCAGGGAAUUGCCUCCCCGUUGGAGCUGAUGGUUUCCUCUGCUGUGUACAGCAGCCCUUGCUCUCACCGCAACCAGCACUGUAAGUGCCCCAAGGCUCCCACAGCAAUCGCUGCACCUGCUGUGGUCCUCCACGGCCCAGAUGGCCACCGUUCCACUGGCCAGGCCCCACAGAUUGGAUCGAGGGUGGAGAUUGUUUACCAGAGAAGAAACAGAUGAAAGUAAGGCCCUUCCCAAUCCUCAGCCAUGGAGUCCUCCCUUGUAGCUGCGGCCAAUAUAAAAAUAACUCCAAGUUCUUAAUCUUGAACCCUGAUCACCUGUGUUAAGUGGAAUCCUUCGUGUGAUGUCUGGAAAAUAGUAGGCAUUCAACAAAUAUUUGCUGAACAAAUCAGCUUCUUAACUUAAGUAGUCAUUCCUUCUCUUGCAAAUACGAUUCUGAAAGAGCUGACCCAUUCCUAACGAUGGUUUAUGAUUCUUGAGGGCAUUUUCUUUUCUUCCCAUCAGAGAAACAAGUCUUUCAAUUCUGCAACAAAAGUCACUGGGUAGAGUUGAUUUGAUUCAGUGACCUUGAUUUAUUGAAAUUGCUUGUGCUGUAAACAGAAGCACAUGCAGGAAGCAAGAAGCAGCAGAGAUGGGAUCCAGUCUCAGGGGGGCCCAGGCCUGUGUCCCUCUUCCCACAGGGGGCUCUCCAGUCCACACAGCCGGCUGGCACUUGGCUGGCAUCACACCCCACAUGGCUAGAAGCCAUUUGACACCUCUGUUUGGCAAUCCAGUCCACACAGCUGGCUGGUACCCCAACUCACACAGCCAACAUCCAGGUCCAUGUGACCGACUGGUACCUCAGUCCUCACAGCUGGCAUCCCAAUCUACAUGGCUAGAACUUAGUUAACAUGACUGGCUGAUAAUCCAGUCCACACCACUGAAACCCAGCCCCAAUCCUGUCACCCUAGUCCAUACAGAGGGUGACCUGGUCCACACAGCUGGCACUCAGAAUGGGUAGUGCACCAACUGGAUACUGGUUCACUGCUCUCUGCUCUGUACAAAGCAGUCUGUGCUGGCCUCUGGACCCAAGUUCUGGCCUCAAGUUACUAUUUGGCUCUCACAAAACAAAACCAGCCUAAAUUAUACUAAGAGGGAAGGGGCCGGUGCUGUGUUGUAGUGGGUAAAGACACCACCUUUAGUAGGGCCGGAAUCCCAUAUGGGGCCUGUUCGAGUCCCAGCUGCUCUACUUUCAAUCCAGAUCUCUGCUAUGAACUGGAAAAGCAGUAGAAGGUGGCCCAAGUGCUUGGGUCCCUGCACCCACAUGGGAGACCUGGAAAAAGCUCCUGGCUCCUGGCUUCGUAUCAGUCUAGCUCUGGUUGUUGCACCCACCUGGGGAAUGAACCAGCAGAUGGAAGACCUCUCU